rnacentral:tRNA from 1 species
GCCCGACUAGCUCACCGGUAGAGCGCCUCACUAGUAUUUUCAGAUUGGCAAGCCUCAUUGGUUAUACAUUCUAAGUAAUGAGGAGGCAACAGGUUCGACUCCUGUGUUGGGCA